rnacentral:rRNA from 1 species
UACGUAGGGUGCAAGCGUUAAUCGGAAUUACUGGGCGUAAAGCGUGCGCAGGCGGUUAUGUAAGACAGGUGUGAAAUCCCCGGGCUUAACCUGGGAACUGCAUUUGUGACUGCAUAGCUAGAGUACGGUAGAGGGGGAUGGAAUUCCGCGUGUAGCAGUGAAAUGCGUAGAUAUGCGGAGGAACACCGAUGGCGAAGGCAAUCCCCUGGACCUGUACUGACGCUCAUGCACGAAAGGCGUGGGGAGCAAACAGG